AGCUCGAUAGCUAACGCUGAGCUGCCAGAGUAUGAUUGAUACCGGUGUGUGGCCCACGCCCCCAAGGGAAGUCUUCUUCCGCGUGGUGCCUAACCGAGAUGUUCUCCGACGGGACCCAACGGGGCGGGGCGCUGGGCUUUCUACUUCGCCUGCAGCCUGUUGUCCUCAAGGCUCUGUGCACCAAGGUCCCCGAGCUGGUACGGACCAUCGUGGGCUGGACAUUGGAGUACCUCCGGGAUCAUGUGCUGGCCUGGAUCCAGGCCCAGGGAGGAUGGGACGGUCUCCUCUCCUACUUCGGCACACCCACCUGGCAGACCAUCACCAUCUUCGCCGCCGGCGUGCUCACCGCCUCCCUCACCAUCUGGAAGAUGUCGUAGGGCGGGGUUGGGGUGUGCUCCGUGGCACCCCACGUCUGGCCGGACUGCGCUGGGCUCCCCGGGGGCUGGCUCCCCUCGUCCAGCCUCACUCCCUUCCCAAUUCUUGGUGCCUUGUGCUCAACUCAGAACAAACCUUUGGGACCCCGUGCUGCGCCUCCCUGAUGGGGACCAACGUCGGGGGACAUGGCCGCUUCGUGGGGUGGGACGCCCUCCUGCAUCUUGGGCAGAGACUUGAGAGGCUUUGAGCCCCACCCGGGGCUGGUCGGCAUUUAAUUUCCUGAUGGGCUGGCUGCCCGCGGGGAAUCCUGAGCCAAGGUCGCAGGAGCCAGAGGCGGUUCCGGGGGCUGAACUUGGGCCGAGGUUGUGGGGGCCA